AGACUCUGUCUCAAAAAAAAAAAAAAGAAAAUGAGCAAGAGACAUGAAGAGACCUCCAGCACAUCGACAUCUGAUGGCCGGGAAGCACAGGCCGAGACACCCAGCAUCACCGAAUGCUGGCGCGGAGGAGGCCGGAGCGCGGAGGAGGCCCGAACGCGGAGGAGGCUGGAGCGCGUGCCUCACGCCUUCCCCGGGGGGACGAGCCGCGUGCCUCGCGCCUUGCCCGGGGGGACGAGCCGGGGACGAGCCGCGUGCCUCGCGCCUUGCCCGGGGGGACGAGCCGCGUGUCUCGCGCAUUGCCCGGGUGGCGAGCUGUGUCUUAUGCAUUGCCAGGGUUGAGCCGUGUCUCUCAGGCAUUCCCGGGGAGUGACAAGUGGCAGGGCCGCUCUGGAGAACAGGUGGUCGGUUUUCUACGAAGCUAAACACACAGCUACUGAGCUACCGUGGGACAUUUAUCCCAGAGAAAUGGAAACUCUCAUUCACACACAAGUCUGUAACAGGCGUUCAGAGACGUGUCUGUUGUAGCCAAACAGUGGCAUCAACCCAGGUGUCCUACAGGUGAACGGUUCAAUACGUGGUCCGCACACCACGAGAUGGCCCUCGGCAGGGAGGGGGAGUGGCGGAUACCCCGAGCCCGAGUGAAGAGCGCCAGUCCAGAGGCUGCAGCUGUUGGUCCCCUUCUAGAACAUAACUAAGAUGACAGUCUGGGCAUGGUGGCUCACACCUACCAUCCCAGCCCUGUGGGAGGUGAGGCCAGCGGGUCUCUUAAGCCUAGGAGUUUGAGACCAGCCAUAGUGAGACCCCGUCUCCCAAAAAAAAAAAAAAGAUGACAGAACUGUAGUGAAGCAUUCAGGUCGUGAUUGCUGUGGUGCUGAGAGGAAUCCGUGGUGCGGUCAGUGGCGCGGCCCCGCACUCACACACACGAGUCCAGCUGGCCACGUCUGGUGCAUCUGUAGGUGGCGCGGCUGCCUGGGCUCAGUGCUUCUCUGAGGUUGUGAGAGACGCCCUCCCUGGGGGAUGCUGGGCGCAGGUGCUCAGGGUAUUUACAGCUUCCUGCUAUUCUGAUUAUUCCAAAAUAAAAAGUUAAAGGAUCGGGCCAGGCACGGUGGCUCACGCCUGUAAUCCCAGCACUUUGGGAGGCCGAGGUUGGCAGAUCACGAGGUCAGGAGAUGGAGACCAUCCUGGCUAACAUGGUGAAAUCCCACCUCUACUAAAAAAUACAAAAAAAAUUAACUGUGCGUGGUGGUGGGCGCCUGUAGUCCCAGCUACUUGGGAGGCUGAGGCAGGAGAAUGGUGGGAAUCCGGGAGGUGGAGCUUGAAGUGAGCUGAGAUCACACCACUGCACUCCAGCCUGGGUGACAGAGCGAGACUCCGUCUCAAAAAAAAAAAAGUUACGGGAUCAGCCCUGAUUUGAUGUGCUGCGAGAGGCAGUGGCCACGUGACAGAUGCUGGUGGCCCUCUAGGACACUACAGACGUGGGGACACUGCCUCAACCCUCGUGGACAAGCCCCGGGUCUGCCUUGGCUCCUGGGGGUGACGUGGGGACACUGCCUCAACCCCCGUGGACAAGCCCUGGGUCUGCCUUGGCUCCUGGGGGUGGGGUGCUGCCUCCACAGCUGCCCCGUCCUGUUGUCUGCCCUCCAUCCAGAGUGUUCCCGUCGCCCCAGCACCUGGCCUGUGCUCCAGCCCCUGGAGACCUUCACACGUGUGGGUGGAGCCGGCACCUCUGGACGGCCUCAAGUGAUCGGUGUUCUAUUUUGCAAGCGCAUGUUUUCCAAUAUACGUGGUGCUCUGCGUUAUAGAAACAGUAGUUGCCCCUCAUGGACAACCAGAUGCCGAGUUUCCGAUCUCCGUCUCCACAGGCUCACCAGCUGGAUUCCCUCCUGGGGGCUUCAUUCCCAAAACGGCCACCACGCCCAAAGGCAGCAGCUCCUGGCAGACAAGUCGGCCGCCAGCCCAGGGCGCCUCAUGGCCCCCUCAGGCCAAGCCGCCCCCCAAAGCCUGCACACAGCCAAGGCCUAACUAUGCCUCGAACUUCAGUGUGAUCGGGGCGCGAGAGGAGCGGGGUGUCCGCGCACCCAGCUUUGGUGAGUCCCCCACUCUCUGUUGCUGUGGAGUUUGCAGAGACCUCCCUGAAUUGGCUAAAGGUAGAACCUAUGUUGUUUUCUUCAUCUCAGAGCCCAGUCCUGGGACAGGCACGGCCAAGCCACUCAGAGAACGACGCGGUUUCCGACGUGUGUCCACUGGUCUCUCUCUGGGUCAGGCCUCUGGGUCCCUCUUGUUCCAGUGACACCUUCUUGACCUGUUUUUAACAAAUGGCCUUUGCAACCCUGUCUUGUCUUCCCUCUUCUUUACUCUGGAGGCAUCAGGAUGGUAGCCCUGUUCCCGGGAGCAGCAGGUGGAAUUGGGCCUGUGUGUCUCUGCAGAAAGUUUCUGUUCUUAACUGGGCUUUGUGGCUCACGCCUGUAAUCCCAGCACUUUGGGAGGCUGAGGCGGACAGAUCGCUGGAGCCCAGGAGUUCAAGACCAGCCUGGGCAACAGUGAUACCUCCUCUCUACAAAAAAUGUAAAAAUUAGCCAGGCAUGGUGGCGCAUGCCUGUGGUCCCAGCUACUUGGGAGGCUGAGGCAAGAGGAUUGCUUGAGGCCGGGAGGCAAAGGCCGCAGAGAGCUGAGAUCACGCCAUUGCACUCUGGCCUGGGUGACAGAGUGGAGACCCUGUCUCAAACAAAAAAAAGUUUCUGUUCUUUUCUAGCUCAAAAGCCAAAAGUCUCUGAGAACGACUUUGAAGAUCUGUUGUCCAAUCAAGGCUUCUCCUCCAGGUCUGACAAGAAAGGGCCAAAGACCAUUGCAGAGAUGAGGAAGCAGGACCUGGCUAAAGACACGGACCCACUCAAGCUGAAGCUCCUGGACUGGAUUGACGGCAAGGAGCGGAACAUCCGGGCCCUGCUGUCCACGCUGCACACAGUGCUGUGGGACGGGGAGAGCCGCUGGACGCCCGUGGGCAUGGCCGACCUGGUGGCUCCGGAGCAGGUGAAGAAGCACUAUCGCCGCGCGGUGCUGGCCGUGCACCCCGACAAGGCCGCAGGGCAGCCAUACGAGCAGCACGCCAAGAUGAUCUUCAUGGAGCUGAAUGACGCCUGGUCGGAGUUUGAGAACCAGGGCUCCCGGCCCCUCUUCUGAGGCCGCAGUGGUGGUGGCUGCGCACACAGCUCCACAGGUUGGGAGCCGUCAUGGGACUUGGGUCCCCACCGUGAGGACCCCGUGGGCGACAGCAGGUGUGGCCAGGGUGGGGCUCCGAGCCCCGGGUCACCGCCCGCCCAGCAUUCCAGGCACAUGAAGAGAAAGCAUUCCAAAGCCUCUGAUUGUUGUUUCCUUUUUCUCCUCCCGAAGGAACAGCUGAUUCAUGCUCCUCCCACAAUUGUCACGUCUGUGAUUUAUUUGGUGUUUCGGGCGUGGUCUCUGGAGCCCCGGCACGUGGUGGGCCACGCUGCUGGCGCUCAUGGGCCCUGGUGUUUGCACCGCACUUUGUAAUCAGUCCCGUGGUUGUCUGUACAGAAUUAAACUAUUUUCCGAUG
rnacentral:sRNA from 1 species